AGUGGACGCUGGCGGUAGGCCUAACACAUGCAAGUCGAACGGCAGCACAGUAAGAGCUUGCUCUUACGGGUGGCGAGUGGCGGACGGGUGAGGAAUACAUCGGAAUCUACUUUUUCGUGGGGGAUAACGUAGGGAAACUUACGCUAAUACCGCAUACGACCUACGGGUGAAAGCAGGGGAUCUUCGGACCUUGCGCGAUUGAAUGAGCCGAUGUCGGAUUAGCUAGUUGGCGGGGUAAAGGCCCACCAAGGCGACGAUCCGUAGCUGGUCUGAGAGGAUGAUCAGCCACACUGGAACUGAGACACGGUCCAGACUCCUACGGGAGGCAGCAGUGGGGAAUAUUGGACAAUGGGCGCAAGCCUGAUCCAGCCAUACCGCGUGGGUGAAGAAGGCCUUCGGGUUGUAAAGCCCUUUUGUUGGGAAAGAAAAGCAGCAGGUUAAUACCCCGCUGUUCUGACGGUACCCAAAGAAUAAACACCGGCGAACUUCGU
rnacentral:rRNA from 1 species